rnacentral:piRNA from 1 species
UGAUAGUGUUCUUGGGAUUAAGUAUGGUC